UGGGUGCAAAGGAUUGAUUGUUUCUCCAGUGCCUUCAUCUCUCUGUCUUCUUGUCGCAGACCUCUAUCUGCCUCCCAUCCCCCGUCAAUUCCGUUAUGUAAUGCAGCAAGUAAAUGCUAACCAGGUUCAGCUAAAUGCAGAAGGAUUUAAACCAUCUUGGCUCUCACUCUGCGGGGUGGGGGAGGGGAGAGGGAGCUGAGCUGAGCUGAGCUGGCUUAGUGCUUGGUUGUGGAGGGCGGCGUGCAUUCAUCCCCUAAUUUAUUUAACAACCUGGGAUGUCCUCCUUGACCCCCCACUCUCUAACACCUCUCUGUCCCAUAUCCGGUCUGUUGUCAAGAUCUGUCGAUUUCACCUUUGUAAGAGCUCCCCAAUACGCUCCGUUCUUUCCUCUGAUAUUGCCACCACCCUGGUGCACCCCAUCGCCUUAUACUUGGACGAUUGCAAUAGCCUCGGACUCAGGUGUCUCCCCACUCCAAGGGAUCUUUCUGAAGCACAGGUGAAGACUAGGAGCUGAGGUCCUUGGAUCAGGCCUUGGAACCCUGCCUCUUCUGCUGACCCAGUGGGCUCUCGCCUGUAAAACCUUAGUUCCUGAGGAACAUCUUUUUGUCUGAUUAAUUGAUUAUCUCAUCUGCCACAAGAGAGGCUUGCCAGCUAGACUGCAACAGCCACUAAUAGGAGAUAUUCUAGGCAAUAAGGUUACUGCACAGAAUUGCCUUGGCCUCAGGGUCCUUGUCCCCUCAUAAGACUCUACAUACCCUGGAGAAGUAGCUCAAGUGCCCCUCAGCUGGUGGACUUCUGUUUCACAGCUCUGAAUUCUCUCCCUCCUUCCACCCCUCCCCCAC